rnacentral:rRNA from 1 species
GAUGAACGCUGGCGGCGUGCCUAAUACAUGCAAGUCGAGCGAAGCGGGGACGGGUGAGUAACACGUGGAUAACCUCCUAUAAGACUGGGAUAACUUCGGGAAACCGGAGCUAAACCGGCUCAUUAUAGAUGGAUCCGCGUUGCAUUAGCUAGUGGGUAAGGUAACGGCUUACAAAGGCAACGAUGCAUAUCUGACCUGAGAGGGGGAGCGGCCACACUGGAACGGAUACACGGGCCAGACUCCUACGGGAGGCAGCAGUAGGUAAUCUUCCGCAAUGGGCGAAAGCCUGACGGAGCAACGCCGCGUGAGUGAUGAAGGUCUUCGGAUCGUAAAACUCUGUUAUUAGGGAAGCGGUACCUAAUCAGAAAGCCACGGCUAACUCCGUGCCAGCAGCCGCGGUAAUUC